UCGAUGGUAGGAUAGAGGCCUACCAUGGUGGUAACGGGUAACGGGGAAUUAGGGUUCGAUUCCGGAGAGGGAGCCUGAGAAACGGCUACCACAUCCAAGGAAGGCAGCAGGCGCGCAAAUUACCCAAUCCCGACACGGGGAGGUAGUGACAAUAAAUAACAAUACGGGGCUCUUUCGGGUCUCGUAAUUGGAAUGAGUACAAUUUAAAUCCCUUAACGAGGAACAAUUGGAGGGCAAGUCUGGUGCCAGCAGCCGCGGUAAUUCCAGCUCCAAUAGCGUAUAUUAAAGUUGUUGCAGUUAAAAAGCUCGUAGUUGAAUUUCGGGAUUGACACAUCGGUCGUGCCUUAAGGGGUAUGAACUGGUGUAGUCAAUUUCUCACCUUCUGGAGAACCGCGAUGCCCUUAAUUGGGUGUCGCGGGGAACCAGGACCUUUACUUUGAAAAAAUUAGAGUGUUUAAAGCAGGCAUUUUGCUUGAAUACAUUAGCAUGGAAUAAUAAAAUAGGACGGCAUGAUCCUAUUUUGUUGGUUUCUAGGAUUGACGUAAUGAUUAAUAGGGAUAGUUGGGGGCAUUAGUAUUCAAUUGUCAGAGGUGAAAAUUCUUGGAUUUAUUGAAGACUAACUACUGCGAAAGCAUUUGCCAAGGAUGUUUUCAUUAAUCAAAGAACGAAAGUUUAGGGGAUCGAAGACGAUCAGAUACCGUCGUAGUCUUAACCAUAAACUAUGCCGACUAGGGAUCGGAUGAUGUUAAUUUUUUAAUGACUCAUUCGGCGCCCUUACGGGAAACCAAAGUGUUUGGGUUC
rnacentral:rRNA from 1 species